CUCUCUCUCUCUCUCUCUCUCUCUCUUUAAAAAAAACAGGAAAAAAGAAAAAGAAUAUAACCUAAAUCUGAUGAGGGAGAAGGUAUAAAACUGGCCUGGAAAGGAAAUGGAGGAGGAAUAGUUUACUACCAUAUGGGUAAUAUCAAUUUGACUUUCCUUACAACCAAAAACAAAUAUUAUAGAAUGGAAAAUCUGAAAUUAGUUGUGAGAUCACUGAAUGCUGUCCAACCCCAGCUGGAUGUGCAGGCUACCAAAAGAUUCGUCCUUUUACUUGGUGGACAAUUUAAAAUUCCAGGAUCAAAGUUCGAUCAAACUAAGGCUUUUCACCAUUUACACCUUAUUAUGUAGUACUGAUGGAAUCUCUUUGUCUUCUUUACUAAAGAGCCCUUACCAAGGGAUCAAGAACAAUGACACUAUUAGCAUAUCUUCUGUAUUGAAAAAUCUUUUGGUAAAAUAUCCUGUUCUACCUGCAAAGUACUGAUCAAUGCUAUUGCUGCAGAGCAUGCUAUUUAUCAUCAGAUUGAUAAUCAUAUUGACAUAAUGAGUCCAACAGAUGAAACACCGUUUCCUGGAAUGAAUAGCAAAGCCAAAGAUUGACAAACCUGGGAGUGGAUAAAUGGCAAAACACCAAAGUUUAGUAUAAAUACUACCUUUAAUGUGUUAUAUAAACAAUCACACUUGGAGAUUGAAGUAUUCAUAGAUGCGAAGAAAUGAAGACUUGAAAUCUGCAAUGUUGAAGCAGCCGAUCAUUGGUUACCACUGGAAAUAUGUGACAAAUUAAAUUCAAUUUUAUUGGCGUCAUGUUUUGCCCAACUGAAACUACCAUGUUAACAAAUACAUUACUUAGAAUAUGUCCAGAAGGCCUGGAACUACAUAAUAAAGGAAAUAUUCUC
rnacentral:lncRNA from 1 species